rnacentral:rRNA from 1 species
GAUGAACGCUGGCGGCGUGCUUAACACAUGCAAGUCGAACGGAAAGGCUCUUCCUUGCUGGGGUGCUCGAGUGGCGAACGGGUGAGUAACACGUGGGUAAUCUGCCCUGCACUUCGGGAUAAGUUCGGGAAACUGGGUCUAAUACCGGAUAGGACGUUGUUCUGCAUGCUAUUGUGGAGAGUGUUUCGGUGUGGGAUGAACUAGUGGCCUAUCAGCUUGUUGGUGGGGUAGUGGCUUACCAAGGCUUCUACGGGUAGCCGGCCUGAGAGGGUGAACGGCCACAUUGGGAAUGAGAGACGGCCCAGACUCCUACGGGAGGCAGCAGUGGGGAAUAGUGCAAAAUGGGCGGAAGCCUGAUGCAGCAACGCCGCGUGCGGGAUGACGGCCUUCGGGUUGUAAACCGCUUUCGCCUGUGACGAAGCGUGAGUGACGGUAAUGGGUAAAGAAGCACCGGCUAACUACGUG